rnacentral:rRNA from 1 species
UACGUAGGGUGCAAGCGUUAAUCGGAAUUACUGGGCGUAAAGCGUGCGCAGGCGGUGAUGUAAGACAGAUGUGAAAUCCCCAGGCUUAACCUGGGAACUGCAUUCGAGACUGCAUUGCUAGAGUAUGGGAGAGGGAAGUGGAAUUUCCGGUGUAGCGGUGAAAUGCGUAGAUAUCGGAAGGAACAUCAGUGGCGAAAGCGACUUCCUGGACCAAUACUGACGCUCAUGUGCGAAAGCGUGGGGAGCAAACAGG